rnacentral:rRNA from 1 species
GAGUACUAUGAAUAUUGUAAUUUAAAACUCAAAGAACUUGGCGGUGUUUUAGACCAUUUAGGGGAACCUGUCUCGUAAUCGACAGUCCACGAUAUACCUGACCUUUUUUUGUUUUUCAGUUUGUAUACCGUUGUCGUCAGGUAACUUUUUAGAAAAUAGAAGUUGGCUUGAAAAAUAAGAUAAUUUAAUACGUCAAAUCAAGGUGCAGCUAAUAAAAAGGGGAGGAUGGGUUACAAUUAUGAAUUUAUAAUUACGAAUAAUCAUAUGUAAAUGUGAUUUGUGAAGGAGGACUUAAAAGUAAAUUAAAUUAUAAAAAUAAUUUGAAUGAGGCUCUGAAACGUGU